GACCGGCGCACGGGUGAGUAACGCGUAUGCAACCUGCCCGAUACCGGGGUAUAGCCCAUGGAAACGUGGAUUAACACCCCAUAGUACUUUUAUCCUGCAUGAGAUGUGAGUUAAAUGUUCAAGGUAUCGGAUGGGCAUGCGUCCUAUUAGUUAGUUGGCGGGGUAACAGCCCACCAAGACGAUGAUAGGUAGGGGUUCUGAGAGGAAGGUCCCCCACAUUGGAACUGAGACACGGUCCAA
rnacentral:rRNA from 1 species